rnacentral:lncRNA from 1 species
AAGAGGUCUGCAGUGAAGGUCCCAAAGUCCCAGACAACUUGAAGAAGCUGAGUGAGAAGGCCAUGCAGAUAUCUUGGAGAAGUGCAUUCCAGGCAGAGGAAAAGCCAGUGCAGAGACACUGAAGCAGGGCAUGACUGAUGUGUAUAAGGAGCAUCAUAUACAUGAUCAUCUACAGUCCACUGAGGAGAAUAGCAGACGAGAGGCCAGGUGCAGUGCAUGUAAUCCCAGCACUUUGGGAGACUGAGAUGGGAAGAUCGCUUGAGGCCAGGAGUGCAAGACCAGCCUGGGCAACACAGCAAGACCUUGAUUCUACUAAAAAAAAAAAAGGAUCCUUCAACUUCAACAAUAAUAACACAAGGGAAGUGAAGAAAAACACUUUCUAAGGAAAUCUCUCUCUGAGCUACCAUCCUGCUAGGGAGAGCCUGAAAGCAGAAUGCUGACUUGACUAGCUCUGGUCAAUGAAAGAAAUCACCAGUGGAAAGGCUACCAGGGGGCUUUCUCAAAAGAGAGGGACAGUAAACUGCAAGAUGAACAACUCAAUGCCAUCCAGGUCUGGAUGAGAAAGAACAGUCGAGAGACUGAGUUUCAGGAGUGGAAACACUCAAAGCAUCAUCUUCCACUUUCUUCUCCGGCUGCUAGGAAGAAGGGAAAAACACAGACCUUCUGAGGACCUGCGGAGCAAACCACUGGCUUCAGAAAAGCAAACAGGGACUUCCCUCUGCGCAGCAGGAAGCAGUUAGCCUAGUCGGAGGCUUGACUGAAGAAACAAAUGUAUCCACUGAUAAUGGGCAAGAGCCUGAGGCUCUGGAGCCAAGGGGGAACCCUAAAAAGCUGAUUCAAGUAAGAGAACCAAGGAUCAUGCAAUUCCACAUGGCCACCUCGAAGCAGGAAUCCGUUAAUGAUAGUAAAGGACUGAUGAAAAUCCAAAAAAAAAAAAAAAAAA